CACCACCAAAAUCAAGCACUAGAGCUACCUGCGUGUGAUUCAGAUUCGAGAGAGGCAGCGUGCAGUGCACUCUCUUCACUUCAGCUAGCUCCACCUCCACCACCAUGGCCAACUUCGCCGCCCAGCUCAGGGAUAGGUUUUUCGGCCUCGUCGACCGCGUCGCCGGCUGUGGCCGCUCCGGGGUCAGGGAGGAGGCCCCCAAGUCGGCGCCGGCGCCGGCCGUGCAGGAGCAUGUCGAGAUUCGACCGAGAGGCCCCGGUGUAUCAGGAGGAUCGGAGGCGGGAGUCAAUUAGACGACCGCAAGUGCUACUCGCCCACAUUCAUGUGGCUUCCCUUGUUCUGAAAGUUGAAACAAAUGAUUUUCUUGUUGCUGUGCUUGUGCGUGCGUGGGUGUGUUUUCAAUAUUCAACAAGAGUUUUCUUUUCAUGCCUCGUGACCGAAGUAUUGAGCUUAAUGAUUUCAUUGUAAUAUGUAUAUUUGAUGAAGCAGUAAUAAAUUUGAUUGAAA